GAACGGGUGAGUAACGCGUGAGGAACCUGCCUCAAAGAGGGGGACAACNGUUGGAAACGACUGCUAAUACCGCAUAAGCCCACGGGUCGGCAUCGACCAGAGGGAAAAGGAGCAAUCCGCUUUGAGAUGGCCUCGCGUCCGAUUAGCUAGUUGGUGAGGUAAUGGCCCACCAAGGCGACGAUCGGUAGCCGGACUGAGAGGUUGAACGGCCACAUUGGGACUGAGACACGGCCCAGACUCCUACGGGAGGCAGCAGUGGGGAAUAUUGCACAAUGGGGGAAACCCUGAUGCAGCGACGCCGCGUGGAGGAAGAAGGUCUUCGGAUUGUAAACUCCUGUUGUUGAGGAAGAUAAUGACGGUACUCAACAAGGAAGUGACGGCUAACUACGUGCCAGCAGCCGCGGUAAAACGUAGGUCACAAGCGUUGUCCGGAAUUACUGGGUGUAAAGGGAGCGCAGGCGGGAAGACAAGUUGGAAGUGAAAUCUAUGGGCUCAACCCAUAAACUGCUUUCAAAACUGUUUUUCUUGAGUAGUGCAGAGGUAGGCGGAAUUCCCGGUGUAGCGGUGGAAUGCGUAGAUAUCGGGAGGAACACCAGUGGCGAAGGCGGCCUACUGGGCACCAACUGACGCUGAGGCUCGAAAGUGUGGGUAGCAAACAGGAUUAGAUACCCUGGUAGNCNCACCGUAAACGAUGAUUACUAGGUGU
rnacentral:rRNA from 1 species